CCAAUAGCGUAUAUUAAAGUUGUUGCAGUUAAAAAGCUCGUAGUUGAAUUUCGGGAUCAAUGUUUCGGUCAUGCCGUUGGUAUGUACUGAUAUUAUUGAUUUCUCACCUUCUAAAGAACCGUAAUGCCAUUAAUUUGGUGUCACGGGGAAUUAGGACUGUUACCUUGAAAAAAUUAGAGUGUUUAAAGCAGGCUCACGCUUGAAUACAUUAGCAUGGAAUAAUGAAAUAGGACAUCCGAUUCUAUUUUGUUGGUUUCUAGGAUCGAUGUAAUGAUUAAUAGGGAUAGUUGGGGGCAUUAGUAUUCAAUUGUCAGAGGUGAAAUUCUUGGAUUUAUUGAAGACUAACUACUGCGAAAGCAUUUGCCAAGGAUGUUUUCAUUAAUCAAGAACGAAAGUUAGGGGAUCGAAGACGAUCAGAUACCGUCGUAGUCUUAACCAUAAACUAUGCCGACUAGGGAUCGGAUGAUGUUAAUUUUUUAAUGACUCAUUCGGCGCCUUACG
rnacentral:ncRNA from 2 species